rnacentral:rRNA from 1 species
GGAAACCUUACUAGGGUAAGACAUUGGUAUGAUUGACAGAUUACUUGAUCUUUCUUGAUUCUAUGGGUGGUGGUGCAUGGCCGUUCUUAGUUGGUGGAGUGAUUUGUCUGCUUAAUUGCGUUAACGAACGAGACCUUGACCUACUAAAUAGUUAGCAGUAUCUCCGGAUAUCGCAUAGCUUCUUAGCGGGACUUUGCGCAUUUCAGCGUAAGGAAGUUCGAGGCAAUAA